rnacentral:rRNA from 1 species
AGCGAACGCUGGCGGCAGGCUUAACACAUGCAAGUCGAACGGGCACUUCGGUGUCAGUGGCAGACGGGUGAGUAACGCGUGGGAACAUACCUCUUGGUUCGGAACAACACAGGGAAACUUGUGCUAAUACCGGAUAAGCCCUUACGGGGAAAGAUUUAUCGCCGAGAGAUUGGCCCGCGUCUGAUUAGCUAGUUGGUGUGGUAAAAGCGCACCAAGGCGACGAUCAGUAGCUGGCUGAGAGGAUGAUCAGCCACAUUGGGACUGAGACACGGCCCAAACUCCUACGGGAGGCAGCAGUGGGGAAUAUUUGGACGAAUGGGCGCAAGCCUGAUCCAGCCAUGCCGCGUGAGUGAUGAAGGCCCUAGGGUUGUAAAGCUCUUUUGUACGGGAAGAUAAUGACGGUACCGUAAGAAUAAGCCCCGG